rnacentral:rRNA from 1 species
AACGUACGCUGGCGGCACGCCUAACACAUGCAAGUCCGAACGAAGUAGCAAUACUUCAGUGGCAGACGGGUGAGUCAACAUCGUAGGUCAUCUGCCCUUUGGCCUCGGAAUAACACGAGGAAACUCGUGCUAAUACCGGAUAAGUCUUUACGGAGAAAGCUUUAUGCACCAUCGGAUGAGCCUGCACUUGAUUAGUUUGUUGGUGGGGUAAUGGCCUACCAAGACUGUGAUCAAUAGCUGAUUUGAGAGGAUGAUCAGCCACAUUGGGACUGAGACACGGCCCAAACUCCUACGGGAGGCAGCAGUGGGGAAUCUUGCACAAUGGAGGAAACUCUGAUGCAGCGAUGCCGCGUGAGUGAAGAAGGCCCUUGGGUUGUAAAGCUCUUUCGUCGGGGAAGAAAAUGACUGUACCCGAAUAAGAAGGUCCGGCUAACUUCGUGCCAGCAGCCGCGGUAAUACGAAGGGACCUAGCGUAGUUCGGAAUUACUGGGCUUAAAGAGUUCGUAGGUGGUUGAAAAAGUUAGUGGUGAAAUCCCAGAGCUUAACUCUGGAACUGCCAUUAAAACUUUUCAGCUAGAGUAUGAUAGAGGAAAGCAGAAUUUCUAGUGUAGAGGUGAAAUUCGUAGAUAUUAGAAAGAAUACCAAUUGCGAAGGCAGCUUUCUGGAUCAUUACUGACACUGAGGAACGAAAGCAUGGGUAGCGAAGAGGAUUAGAUACCCUCGUAGUCCAUGCCGUAAACGAUGUGUGUUAGACGUUGGAAAUUUAUUUUCAGUGUCGCAGGGAAACCGAUAAACACACCGCCUGGGGAGUACGACCGCAAGGUUAAAACUCAAAUGAAUUGACGGGGACCCGCACAAGUAGUGGAGCAUGUGGUUUAAUUCGAAGAUACGCGCAGAACCUUACCAACACUUGACAUGUUCGUCGCGACUCUAAGAGAUUAGAGUUUUCGGUUCGGCCGGACGAAACACAGGUGCUGCAUGGCUGUCGUCAGCUCGUGUCGUGAGAUGUUGGGUUAAGUCCCGCAACGAGCGCAACCCUCACUUUUAGUUGCCAUCAUUAAGUUGGGCACUCUGAAAGAACUGCCAGUGAUAAGCUGGAGGAAGGUGGGGAUGACGUCAAGUCCUCAUGGCCCUUACGUGUUGGGCUACACACGUGCUACAAUGGUAUCUACAACAGGAAGCAAGACUGCGAAGUUAAGCAAAUCCCUAAAAGAUACCUCAGUUCGGAUUGCACUCUGCAACUCGAGUGCAUGAAGCUGGAAUUACUAGUAAUCGUGGAUCAGCGUGCCACGGUGAAUGCGUUCCCGGGUCU